UACAGAGGGUGCGAGCGUUAAUCGGAAUUACUGGGCGUAAAGCGCACGUAGGUGGCGACGUAAGUCGGGUGUGAAAUCCCCGGGCUCAACCCGGGAACUGCGUCCGAUACUGGCAGGCUUGAAUCCGGGAGAGGGAUGUGGAAUUCCAGGUGUAGCGGUGAAAUGCGUAGAUAUCUGGAGGAACACCGGUGGCGAAGGCGGCAUCCUGGACCGGUAUUGACGCUGAGGCGCGAAAGCCAGGGGAGCAAACGGG
rnacentral:rRNA from 1 species